GACGAACGCUGGCGGCGUGCUUAACACAUGCAAGUCGAACGGAGCGAAUGAAAGCUUGCUUUUAUGAGCUUAGUGGCAAACGGGUGAGUAACACGUAGGCAACCUGCCGACAGGAUGGGGACAACAUUCCGAAAGGAAUGCUAAUACCGAAUGAAGCGGAGGAGAGGCAUCUCCCCUCCGUGAAAGAUGGCCUCUUUUUAUGCUAUCACCUGUCGAUGGGCCUGCGUCUGAUUAGCUGGUAGGUGAGGUAACGGCUCACCUAGGCGACGAUCAGUAGCCGGUCUGAGAGGAUGAACGGCCACAUUGGGACUGAGACACGGCCCAGACUCCUACGGGAGGCAGCAGUGGGGAAUCUUCCGCAAUGGGCGCAAGCCUGACGGAGCAACGCCGCGUGAGUGAAGAAGGUCUUCGGAUCGUAAAGCUCUGUUGAUGGGGACGAACGUGCCUAAUGCGAAUAGUUUUAGGC
rnacentral:rRNA from 1 species